GACGAACGCUGGCGGCGGGCUUAACACAUGCAAGUCGAACGGAAAGGCCCUGCUUUUGUGGGGUGCUCGAGUGGCGAACGGGUGAGUAACACGUGAGUAACCUGCCCUUGACUUUGGGAUAACUUCAGGAAACUGGGGCUAAUACCGGAUAGGAGCUCCUGCUGCAUGGUGGGGGUUGGAAAGUUUCGGCGGUUGGGGAUGGACUCGCGGCUUAUCAGCUUGUUGGUUGGGUAGUGGAUUACCAAGGCUUUGACGGGUAGCCGGCCUGAGAGGGUGACCGGAUACGUUGGGAUUGGAAUGCGGCACGGACCAAUCCGGGAGGCAGAAGAGGGGAAUAUUGCACAAUGGGCGGAAGCAUGAUGCAGCAACGCCGCGUGCGGGAUGACGGGCUGCGGGUUGUAAACCGCUAUUGUCUGUGCCGAAGCGUGAGUGACGGUAAUGGGUAAAGAAGCACCGGCUAACUACGUG
rnacentral:rRNA from 1 species